rnacentral:piRNA from 1 species
UGGCAGAUUGGUUCUUCCUUUACUGAAGC